AUACAUGUGAUCUCACAUUUAUAUUCUAUACAGCUGUUACAUAAGUUUUUUGUCCUAUUGUUAGAAAUUGAUUUUUAGUCAUUUAAUAAUUUGAAGAACAAUAUUCUGAUAAUUCGGACAAAUACAUAUGUUCUCAUUUGCUUUCCGAAUAUAUAUAAGAGAAUCUAUAUAAAUGGAAUAUAGUAAAUAUAGAUAGUUUAUGAACUUUCGAACAGUAUUACACACGAUGGAAGAUAGGGCGUUUUUCAGGCUAAUAAUUGACUGUGGUAAAAGAAAGCUUGUCAAGAUUAUUAUAAUCAAAAUGCUUUAAUGUAAGGAAAUAAAAUAUGAACUUAUUAAAUUUCAGCGAUAAAAAUAUCGAACGUAAGUGAAGAUAAUUGUACGCAGGACGUAACUUAUUAUAAUUAUAAUAUAACAAAAAUUUUGUCUUAACAUGAACAAUGUUAAGAUAAAUAAAUUUGUAAAAUUUCCAAUAUAUGCAAUCUGACUACUUUGAUUGAUUGAUUGACAGAGAGAGAGAGAGAGAGAGAGAGAGAGAGAGAGAGAGAGAAGGCAAAAUUUAUUAUUACUUUUUGUUUCAAUCUGGGAUAGAACAAUUAAAUUUAUGUGGUAUUGCGUACAGGAAGAUUUCAUUAAUUUAUCAGAUUUCUUCUUUUCUUAACGAAUCUUCUACUUGACUGUUAAACAGUAAGAAAUAUAUGCAAAACGAGAUUUUUGUUUACGAACAGAUUCUGUCGUAUCGAAUUCAAUGACCAGGAUAUAAUCUUGUGGACGGUAUACUAUUUGAAAAAUGGCAUUUAUCGAGAUAUUGUACCAAUCUCGUCGUAUUUAAUAGUAUAAGAUUAAAGUUUCAUAACGAACUAAAUGUUCAUAUUCAGUCAAUGCUCUUCUAGUCAAUGAUCAUUUACAAUGCUCUAUGACAAUGUAUCUACGAACCUAGCAAAAAGGUGAACUGAUAUCAAAUUUUUAAAUAUUUAUAUAUAUUUCAUAAUAAUACUAAUUUAGAAGAAUUGUGAAAUAGGCAGUAAAAAUGAUCUCCAAGGGUUUUAUCGCUUGAUUAUUAAUUAUAUCAAAUUAUAUGAAAUAAUGAGAUCUUACUAGAUGGAUUUUACAGUUUUUAUUUCAUAUAUUCAUAAUUUAUUUUUUUUUUGAUAUAUCUACUAUCCUGCACAGAAUUCGAUAUAUACAUAAUUAUUAUACAUAUAGUAUAUAUAUAUGUGUGUGUGUGUGUGUGUGUGUAAUAUAUUUAAAUUAAUAUUAUAAUUUUAAUUAAUUUCUUCUUUCAAAUUGUAAUACUAUAGGUUUUGCCGGUUUUAACGUGAUAUCCAGCUUUAAGGCAAUAUCUUCGAUUACUACAGGCCGAUCAAUUUUAAUAAUAAAUCUUCUUAAAAUAGUAGCAAUUAUCAUCUUCAUUUCUAGCAUAGCAAAUGUUUGACCUAAAACAGUGAAAACAAUUGUAAAUCCAUACUGUUGUGUAACUUUUUGAAAUUUAAUUUCAAUAAUCUGGAAGAAUAUAGAAUUACCUAAGCAACUUCUAGCUCCAAUACCGAAUGGUAAAAAACUGUGAGGAUGAACAUUACCGGAUAGAAACCUAUUUGGAUCAAACUUCAAUGGCUCGUUCCAAUAUUUUUUAUUUCGAUGAAGUUUGAAAAUCCAGAAUAACAAGGAGCUUCCUUUUGGUAUAGUUAAAUUUUGUUCCACUUGAUACAAUUCAUGAAUAAAUAUUAGUAUUAAUUAAUA